rnacentral:lncRNA from 1 species
CACGAAUCAUCAUAAAGUAGGAAAGUAUAAUCAUGACAUGAACAUACUGAGAUACGAAGUAAUACUGUCCUGUACAAUCAAAAUACUAACGUUCGUACAUACUGGUACUCUAGUCUGACAAAGCCUCUACUACAUAAGACUGAAGAGCCAUUGGGACAGAUCCCCAACUGGCUCAUACUGAAUGGAAAAAUAAACAACCAUCAAUUAGCAAGACAAAAAUCAUGAACAUAGGUCCUCGAAACAUGAGGACUCACCAACUGCAGGAAUGUAGAUGAAGGUACUCGUAGAUCACUGUCGCGGCUGAGACUGAGCACCUGAACCUAUAUCACAAGGAAAUAUAGAAUACAAAAAAGUAUGGGAGUCAGUACUUAAGAAUGUACUGAGUUUGUGGGGAUGGAUGCAUCAUUUUAAAUAAUAUCAUAAAUGUAUAAGAAAAGCAUGCAUGCAAACAAUAACAACUCUCUUCACUUGGAUUAUCUAAAACAUCAUUUUCGGAAGUCAUCAGUAAUAACAUAUGUUUCAUAAAUCUCGUAAAUCAUUUAACUCAACUCAAACUCUUUGACUCAUGACUUAGAGUGACUCGGUAACUCAUGGUACUUAGAUCAUUAUGGAUGUGAGAGUUUCUUAUAACUGACAUAGCUACACCAUGUGAGCCGCAUGGAGUCCAACAUUUUUCCCUCCUAAAAAGAGAACCCCACAUUGGCAGGGGUAUCGUACUAUUGCCAGGGAGUACAAUCUCAAUCUCAUCAUCACAAUCUCAUACUCGGCCUUUGUCCCACAACUAUCAACAUCAAUCCUACGGUGGCACGUAGUUCUGGGGAAAUACCAAAUUUCCCACUCGGUGCUAAAUACUCCUCCCAGACUCAGCUUAGAAUGCGAUAGGAAAUCCACCUCAAUCAAUAUCAACUCAUGGGUCUAUCAUGAUGACCAAAACAACAGUGUAUCUCAUCGAUAAAUCAUAUACAACUAUGGAUUCCUAACUCGACUCAAAUUCAAAUAAUGUUUCUCAACAUCAAGUACAUUUGCUUAUCAAAUCAUUUCAAAUGCCAAAGCUUCAAGGAAACAUCAUCAAACUCAUUCUUGACUUUCAAUUCAAAUAUUGAUAUAUAUAUAUAUAUAUAUAUAUUCAAUAGUCAAAUUUCUCAUAGAAAAAUACAAAUCUUGACACUUAUCAUAAAUCACUUAGAAAUCAUCAAUAUAUAAUGACAAUAUACAUCUCAUGGAAUAAAUACUCAAUUUAUGAAGCAUGAUGGUGAAAUAACUAUAAAUAUCAAGCUUAUUCAACUCAAGUCUCAUAAAUCAUACAUAAAGAAAUUUAGGUGUUGCAAAAUCAUGUAAAUCAAUAAUAGAAAGUAAAUCUUUAGGCACAAGAACGAAAGAAGUGUUCUUGUUCAAACCCCACAUACCUUGGAUUUUGAUUUGAAGAUGUCGAAACUUGUUUGCAACUCUUCUGACACUUUUAGGCCAAGAUUCUUGAUGCCUUUGACUUAAGAAACUUAGUUCUUGAACAACUUGGACAAAGUCAUAAAAGUUUCUUUGAAUUUCUUGGAAGAAGAUUUGGAUUUUGGAUCUUGUAAAAACCCUAGUUUCUAGGAGAUUCAUGAAAGAUUGGAAGAGAAAGAAGAAGGAAAAUGAGUGGCUCUUCUCUACUUUGAUAUAUAUAAGACCACAUAGGGAGGAAAUGACCAAAAUGUCAUUUUUGAAAAUGCUGAAAUUUGCUGAUCGGGGCCUGUGACAGUUGACCUGACGGUCCGUCAGAGGAAACUGACAGUCCACCAAGUCGUCCGUCACUCGAGGGCCAAAAAUGAGACAUUCUAUCUCGACCUGACGAACCCCUUAACGGUCCGUCAACUUUUUGACGGUCCACCAACUUGGCCAUCGCACGAUGGCCUGAAAAAAGAAUCACUGCCUCAGCUUGACGGGGCACUUAACGGUCCACCAGGGACCUGACGGUCCACCAGGUCGACCAUCAAACCUGGGCGAUCCGACACCAUUCAGUAAAACAGCCAUAACUCCCUCAUCCGAUGUCGGAUCUCAAUGAAACUAGUUUCGAUGAAAAGCUUAUAGAAGUUAUACAUAUCCACUCAAAAGACGGAUUUAGGCUUAGGAAACGAUCGAGGUAUUACACUUAGACAUUCGUCUGAGAACUUUGAAUACCAAUUGUUUGGGCUAGUGAAAUACCAAUUAUUUGGAUCUAGUGAAAUAUAAAUUGUUUAACGUCACAACUCUUCAAGAAAUACCAAUUGUUUAGCUCCCACAAUUG